UACGAAGGGUGCAAGCGUUACUCGGAAUUACUGGGCGUAAAGCGUGCGUAGGCGGUUUGUUAAGUCUGCUGUGAAAGCCCCGGGCUCAACCUGGGAAUGGCAGUGGAUACUGGCAAGCUAGAGUGCGGUAGAGGGGUGUGGAAUUCCCGGUGUAGCGGUGAAAUGCGUAGAGAUCGGGAGGAACACCAGUGGCGAAGGCGGCACCCUGGACCAGAACUGACACUGAGGCACGAAAGCGUGGGGAGCAAACAGG
rnacentral:rRNA from 1 species